GAUGAACGCUAGCUACAGGCUUAACACAUGCAAGUCGAGGGGAAACGGCAUUUUAGCUUGCUAAGAUGGACGUCGACCGGCGAAUGGGUGAGUAACGCGUAUCCAACUUCCGUUAAGUAGGGAAUAGCCUUGCGAAAGUAAGACUAAUACCCAAUGACGUCUCUAGAAGACAUCUGAAAGAGAUUAAAGAUUUAUCGGUGAUGGAUGGGGAUGCGUCUGAUUAGCUUGUUGGCGGGGUAACGGCCCACCAAGGCGACGAUCAGUAGGGGUUCUGAGAGGAAGGUCCCCCACAUUGGAACUGAGACACGGUCCAAACUCCUACGGGAGGCAGCAGUGAGGAAUAUUGGUCAAUGGGCGAGAGCCUGAACCAGCCAAGUAGCGUGCAGGAUGACGGCCCUAUGGGUUGUAAACUGCUUUUAUAAGGGAAUAAAGUGGGUCACGUGUGACUUUUUGCAUGUACCUUAUGAAUAAGGACCGGCUAAUUCCGUG
rnacentral:rRNA from 1 species